rnacentral:rRNA from 1 species
GACAGAGGUGCCAAGCGUUAGGCGGAAUCACUGGGCUUAAAGCGUGUGUAGGCGGAUCGUUAAGUACCUUGUGAAAUCCCACGGCUCAACCGUGGAACUGCUCGGUAUACUGGCGGUCUUGAGCUACCUAGGGGCAGCUGGAACAAGCGGUGGAGCGGUGAAAUGCGUAGAGAUGUGGAGGAAUACCGAUGGCGAAGGCAGCCCCCUGGGCCAAUACUGACGCUCAUGCACGAAAGCGUGGGGAGCAAACAGG